rnacentral:tRNA from 1 species
UUUUAUUAGUAUAAAAAAUUACAUUAAAUUUCCAAUUUAAAAAUCAAUUAAGAUAAAAUAA